rnacentral:rRNA from 1 species
UACAGAGGUCUCGAGCGUUGUUCGGAUUCAUUGGGCGUAAAGGGUGUGUAGGUGGCGCCGUAAGUCGGGUGUGAAAUCUCGGGGCUUAACUCCGAAACUGCAUUCGAUACUGCGGUGCUUGAGGACUGGAGAGGAGACUGGAAUUCAUGGUGUAGCAGUGAAAUGCGUAGAGAUCAUGAGGAAGACCAGUGGCGAAGGCGGGUCUCUGGACAGUUCCUGACACUGAGACACGAAGGCCAGGGGAGCAAACGGG